UAACAAUGAUUUCCCUAGUAACGGCGAGUGAAGAGGAAAGAGCUCAAAGUUGGAACCUGUCUGGCUUAGCUAGACCGGAUUGUAAACUGUAGAAACAUUUUCCUGACAGGCUGGGCAAAAAGUCUUUUGGAACAAGGCAUCAUAGAGGGUGAGAAUCCCGUCUUUGGCCCAAGUUAGUUGUCUAUUGUGAUAUGUUUUCAAAGAGUCAGGUUGUUUGGGAAUGCAGCCUAAAUUGGGUGGUAAAUCUCACCUAAAGCUAAAUAUUUGCGAGAGACCGAUAGCGAACAAGUACCGUGAGGGAAAGAUGAAAAGAACUUUGAAAAGAGAGUUAAACAGUAUGUGAAAUUGUUAAAAGGGAACCGUUUGGAGCCAGACUGGCUUGACUGUAAUCAUUCCAAGACCUUAAAAAUCGAAAGAUGCACUUGCAGUUUAUGCCUGCCAACAACAGUUUGAUUUGGAGGAAAAAAUUAUUAUUGAAUGUGGCCUUUAUUUAUUUAGGGGUGUUAUAGCGUUUUAAUCAUACUCUGGAUUGGACUGAGGAUCGCAGUGAAUGCCUUUAGGCAAAUUACUGGUUUGCUUUCGCUAAUAAAUAUCAGAAUUUCUGCUUAAGGUGGUGUUGAUGUUUAAAGGAGAAACUCAUUCUAGUAUAUUUUAAUUCGCUUAGUUGUUGGCUUAAUGACUC
rnacentral:rRNA from 1 species